ACUUUGGGCAAUAUACAUAAGUUUAAAGCAAGCUUUCGCUAAACAGUCUGCAUACCAAAUCUUAAGUUAGUUUGAGUUGAUUGUUUGAUUGGUCGUGGUAAUCUUUUAAAACAAAUGCUAUAGUUUCAAUUAGCACAUACCCGUUACUCAGAUAAUAUGAGUUUCAAGCUCUUUUGUAACAAAGUAGGCAUACAUAUUUUGCUGGAGGUAUAACAUAGUCGGUACUUCUUCCUGUACCAGUUGCUAUCACCACCAGAAACAACACAAACGUAGAUCAGCGACAGCAAUAAAACAGAAUCAGUUUAUUAUGAUAAUUGAGUUGCAUUUAAUUUGAAUUUCACGGCAUUUUAAUCGCAAAGAAAAAAAUAAUCCGAAUCAGAAUAAUUGCUUCUGCAUUACAUUUUAAUAUUUCAUAUCGCUCGUAUCGCAGUUCAUCUAAUGUCUGUGAGCCCGGAGCAAUUAUUAUUAAUUCUUUAAAGAAGUUAAAAUAUUUUAAAUAAGGCUAGUCAGCCACCCGUUGAGUCUAAUUUGUUUUCCCGUGAGGUUUGCUUUUAAAUAUUUAUUUUCAUCUUAUCCCAUCAAUGGAAAUAGGAUGGUUCCUUUUUAAAUGAGAAUGGUAUUGAUUUUCUGUUUGUGCCAUCUGAGAAAGGAAUUGUCUUGAGAAACCCCCCAAGAGCACUUGUACAACCUUCCCAUCAACAACAAUGCCGCAAGAUGUAGUCAUUCUCCAGAACUAAGGAGUCAGUCAAUGAAGCGAUGACACAGCGUGUCAUCUGUGUAAUUUGCAGCUCUAAUGCCCCAGCAUUCGUCCACUGUCACUACUGUUCGUAUACCUUGUGUUAUUGGAAUAUUAACGGUUUUUGUUACAGCUUUCGGCGACAGGAACAGCCGCUUGGGAAUUCGGAUUCGACAACUUCGCGGCUGAAUGUCUCAGCUGGUGGUUGCGGUAUUGUGGUUGCUUCAAUUUUUAUCAGAUUAAGCCUUGUGGCAGACGACACACGGAGCGUGCCAAUGAAUUUUAAUAGUAAUAGCUGAAGCUAUAGCUAUUUCAGUACCAAUCUAAAGAGAACAUUGCAUUUAGCAGGACUUGACAACUUGAUAUUUCGAAUCUAGUAGUUUCUACUCAAAAAGUAACAGAAAAUGAUAUCAAAGGGAAUUCGGAUUAUGCUUGCUUCGUUGCAGAGGGUAUAUGGAUUUCAGUAAGAUGUUUGCAACGCAGUAUCACAAUAAACAUCCGAGUUAAUAUAGCAAUGCCCUUAAAUAUACAUAUAUAAUUUCACAGAUACUUUUGUAUCCAGGUGAAAAGUUUUCUUCAUAUGACUACUCCUGAUGUCCUCUCGAUGUCCUGCACACGUGCUAACAACACUUACCGGACACCAUGUUUUAACUAAUUGUGUACCACAAACACGCACUUCGCCACAGAUUUAUUUGCUAUUUCAGGAGUCAUUAGCUUCGUAAAGGGAGGGAAGUUAGCCCUAUUUCAAGCACCCUCUUGCAUUAUUAGAAGAAAACGGGCUUUCUAAGGGAUUUAAAAGGGAUGAUGCAAACAAAUUUUGGGGAAGGAAGGUCUAGGUGGUUAAUUGUAGUUUUAAUAAUAAACAUUUUAAUAAUCCAAAUUCUUAUAACUUUUCCAUUAAAACUUUACUUAUUUAUAUAGGAUACAAAAGAAAUUUGCGAGUAAAGGCAAUUUAUGGGCUUAGGUCGUCUCCCGAGACUCAGAUGCUUUACUACCAUGACGCACCAUUUUCAUUUAUUUUUAUUUCCGAUUUAGGUCCGAUUUAACUAAUGAAGUUACAUAAAGUGCAAACAGAAUCUAAAGCAGAUAAUAACCCGAAAUAAUAUAGGAUCAAAUUAAACUCCAUCUUCAUAUCUUUGUAGAAAAUAUAAAAUCAUAUUUCCACAUUUAAUAUGUUGCUUUUUGACAGCGUUGUCAGAUGAAAAUUUUCCUUCCUCCGAAUAAAAUUUUUAUAGUCGAUAUACACUUUUUCCUUAAAUUAAAAAAAAACAAGAGAGAACGCUAUAGUCCAGUUCCCCGACUAUCUGAUA